AACGCGUGGGUAACCUGCCCUAUACACAUGGAUAACAUACUGAAAAGUUUACUAAUACAUGAUAAUAUAUAUUUUGGCAUCGCAGAUAUAUCAAAGUGUUAGCGGUAUAGGAUGGACCCGCGUCUGAUUAGCUAGUUGGUGAGAUAACUGCCCACCAAGGCGACGAUCAGUAGCCGACCUGAGAGGGUGAUCGGCCACAUUGGAACUGAGACACGGUCCAAACUCCUACGGGAGGCAGCAGGC
rnacentral:rRNA from 1 species